rnacentral:snoRNA from 1 species
ACGACCUUACUUGAACAGGAUCUGUUCUAUAGUAUCUUACCUCUGUGUCCUUCAUUGCUAAGGAGACAGGAUCUUAAAUCUGGUUGAUGAAACAUAAUCAAGUGGCUAGAGCGUGAUUGACAGCCUCACGGUCUUGUCCGUUGGAGCAGUUUGAGGAUCGUUCUCAACCAUUGUUGUUGGCUGGGAUUGGUCACUUGGUUGUCUGACAGUCC